rnacentral:lncRNA from 1 species
GGAACAAGGCCUUAGCAUGCAUCUCAAACAUUCAAUCAUGAAACAUGAAGUGGAGGAAUCUAACCUUCUACUCAAGUAACAUAGAAAGUUUGAACUUCCCAAUUAUAUUAAGAAAGAGGACUCUAACCUCAAGCCGUCUUACCAAGCAUGUGGAUUCUAAACACAAGAUGUUUUAUUAGGCUAGGGACUCUAACCUCAAGCCAUUUAAGUAUGAAAAUAAACUCUAACCUUAAGAUGUUUCAUUAGGAAAUGGACUCUAACCUUAGU